GAAGAACAAAAUGUAUAAGACUGAGAAUAUUAAUGAUUUGUGAUUUAAUAUAUAUUCAACUUAUUGUCACAAAAAACUUAAUAAAAAAAUACAUACAUUGUUUAAAGAACAUUAAAAAUCACGUUAAAACUUUUAACAUUUUAAGAAAAAUUAUGAAUCAAUAAUAUUAAUUUUAUCCGAAAAAUUCAGCACUAAAUGCAUAAACAAAAAAAAAACAAACCUUAAACCUUAUAAUCCUAAGCAUUAUUCUAAACCAAACCUUAAACCCAACCUAAACCAAACGCUAAAAUUUUUCUACUACCUAAACCCUAAAUCCUACCUAACCCUAAACCCUACCUAAACCUAGACCUUAACCCUAUCUAGCCCUAAACCCUACAUAAACCUAACCCUAAUCCCUAAACCCUUCAUACUACUUAAACCCUAAACCUAUCUAACUGUAAACCUACCUAACCCUAAAUGUAAACCUACCUAACCGUAAACCCUAUUUAACCCUAAACCUUACCUAACCCUAAACCCUUCCUAACCCUAAAACCCUACCUAAAACCUAACCCUAAACCCUACUAACCCUAAACCCUACCUAACCCUAACCCUACAUAACCCUAAACCCUACCUAACCUAAACCCUUUCUAACCCUAAACCCUUUCUACCCCUAAACCCUACCUAACCCUAAACCCUACUAACCUUAAACCCUACUAACCCUAAACCCUUUCUAACCCUAGACCCUACCUAACCCUAAACCCUACCUACCCUAAACCCUUUCUAGCUCUAAACCCUACCUAACCCUAAACCCCAUCUAACCCUAAACCCUACCUAACCCUAAACCUGACCUAACCCUAAACCCUGCCUAACCCUAAACCCUACCUAACCCUUUCUAGCCCUAAAUCCUACGAACCCUAAACCCUUUCUAACCCUAAACCCUACCUAAUUCUAAACCCUACCUAACCCUAAAUCCUACUAACCCUAAACCCUACCUAACCAAAACCCUACCUAACCCUAAAACCUUUCUAACCCUAAACCCUUUCUAGCCCUAAACCCUACCUAACCCUAAACCCUACUAACCCUAAACCCUACUAACCCUAAACCCUACCUAAUUCUAAACCCUACCUAACCCUAAACCCUACGUAACCCUAAACCCUACCUAACCCUCAACCCUACCUACCCUAAACCCUUUUUAACCCUAAACCUUACCUGACCUAAAACCUAACCCUAAACCCUACCUAACCCUAACCCUAAAACCUACCUAAUCCUAACCCUACAUAACCCUAAACCCUACUAACCCUACCUAACCUAAACCAUUUCUAACCUUAAACCCUUUAUAGCCCUAAACCCUACUUAACCCUAAACCCUACUAACCCUAAACCCUACUAACCUUAAACCCUAUUAUUCCUAAAUCCUUUCUAACCCUAAACCCUACCUAACCCUAAACCCUACCUAACCCGUGCUUGGGAGUCCCUGAUGAUUAAAUAAACCAAGGAUUUUAUACCCUACCUAACCCUAAACCCUACCUACCCUAAACCCUUUCUAACCCUAAACCCUACCUAACCCUAAACCCCUUCUAACCCUAAACCCUUUCUAACCCUAAACCCUACCUAACCCUAAACCCCAUCUAACCCUAAACCUGACCUAACCCUAAACCCUACCUAACCCUUUCUAGCCUUAAAUCAUACUAACCCUAAACCCUUUCUAACCUUAAACCAUGCUAACCCUAAACCCUACCUAAUUCUAAACCUACCUAACCCUAAACCCUACUAACCCUAAACCCUACCUAACCUAAACCCUAUCUAACCCUAAAACCUUUUUAACCCUAAACCCUUUCUAGCCCUAAACCCUACCUAACCCUAAACCCUACUAUCCCUAAACCCUACUAACCCUAAACCCUACGUAACCCUAAACCCUACCUAAACCCUACCUAACCCUAAACCCUAUCUACCCUAAACCCUAUCUACCCUAAACCCUACCUAACCCUAAACCCUUCCUAACCCUAAACCCUACUAACCCUAAACCCUACGUAACCCUAAAUCCUUUCUAACCCUAAACCCUACCUAACCCUUAAACCCUGCUAACCUUAAACUCUGCCUAAACCUAACCCUUAAACCCUACCUAAACCUAACCAUAAAUCCCAUCUAACGCUAAAACUCUACCAACCCUAAACACUAAAAAAUAAUCUCAAAACUUAAAGUUAAAAAAAACCUAAACUCUACCGAUAUGUAAUUUGCUGUUGUGAUAUUCAAAUAACAAAAUACAUAGCGGAUUUUAAAUCUUACAUCCAUUAUUUUAAUUGCCAAACUAUUUUGAAAGUUGUAUUUUAUGAAUAAUAAAGGUAAAUUAUAUUUUAAUAACGUUAAGUUUUGUUAAAAUAGAAUGAAAAACUAUUAUCACAAAUAAAUAAAGAAUUUUGAUGAAAUUUGAAAAUUUUCGAAUCAAUAACAAUUAAUUAGUAAUAUUUCAAAAACCCUUAAACUAUUAUAGCUGU
rnacentral:lncRNA from 1 species